rnacentral:rRNA from 1 species
AAUACGUAGGGUGCAAGCGUUAAUCGGAAUUACUGGGCGUAAAGCGUGCGCAGGCGGUUUUGUAAGUCUGUCGUGAAAUCCCCGGGCUCAACCUGGGAAUGGCGAUGGAGACUGCAAGGCUAGAAUCUGGCAGAGGGGGGUAGAAUUCCACGUGUAGCAGUGAAAUGCGUAGAUAUGUGGAGGAACACCGAUGGCGAAGGCAGCCCCCUGGGUCAAGAUUGACGCUCAUGCACGAAAGCGUGGGGAGCAAACAGGA